rnacentral:rRNA from 1 species
UACGGAGGGGGCUAGCGUUGUUCGGAAUUACUGGGCGUAAAGCGCACGUAGGCGGACAUUUAAGUCAGGGGUGAAAUCCCGGGGCUCAACCCCGGAACUGCCUUUGAUACUGGGUGUCUGGAGUCCGGAAGAGGUGAGUGGAAUUCCGAGUGUAGAGGUGAAAUUCGUAGAUAUUCGGAGGAACACCAGUGGCGAAGGCGGCCCACUGGUCCGGUACUGACGCUGAGGUGCGAAAGCGUGGGGAGCAAACAGG